rnacentral:rRNA from 1 species
UACGAAGGGGGCUAGCGUUGCUCGGAAUCACUGGGCGUAAAGGGUGCGUAGGCGGGUCUUUUUAAGUCAGGGGUGAAAUCCCGGAGCUCAACUUCGGAACUGCCUUUGAUACUGGGGAUCUCGAGUCCGGAAGAGGUGAGUGGAACUCCGAGUGUAGAGGUGAAAUUCGUAGAUAUUCGGAAGAACACCAGUGGCGAAGGCGGCUCACUGGUCCGGUACUGACGCUGAGGUGCGAAAGCGUGGGGAGCAAACAGG